rnacentral:rRNA from 1 species
UACGUAGGGGGCAAGCGUUGUCCGGAUUCAUUGGGCGUAAAGAGCGUGUAGGCGGCCAGGUAGGUCGGUUGUGAAAACUGGAGGCUCAACCUUCAGAGGUCGACCGAAACCAUCUGGCUAGAGUCCGGGAGAGGAGAGUGGAAUUCCUGGUGUAGCGGUGAAAUGCGCAGAUAUCAGGAAGAACACCCGUGGCGAAAGCGGCUCUCUGGAACGGUACUGACGCUGAGGAGCGAAAGCGUGGGGAGCGAACAGG